GGCCGCCCCCCCAGACCCAGCUCGGCCCCCCCAGACAUGGCCACGGGGGAGUGGCUGCAGUUCUUCCAGGACGCCGGGAUCCCGCCCGGCCCCGCCCUCGGCUACGCUGUCGCCUUUGUGGACAACAGGAUCCACAAGGACAUGCUGCUGGAGCUGACGCGGGAGCUGAUGAAGGAGUUGGGCAUCACCGUGGUGGGCGACGUCAUCGCCAUCCUGCGCCACGCCCGCCUCGUGCACA